AUUGAACGCUGGCGGCGAUGCCUUACACAUGCAAGUCGAACGGUAACAGGGAGCUUGCUCCGCUGACGAGUGGCGAACGGGUGAGUAAUGUAUCGGAACGUACCAUUCAGUGGGGGAGUAACGUAGCGAAAGUUACGCUAAUACCGCAUAUUCUGUGAGCAGGAAAGCAGGGGAUCGCAAGACCUUGCGCUGAUUGAGCGGCCGAUAUCAGAUUAGCUAGUUGGUGAGGUAAAGGCUCACCAAGGCGACGAUCUGUAGCGGGUCUGAGAGGAUGAUCCGCCACACUGGAAUUGAGACACGGUCCAGACUCCUACGGGAGGCAGCAGUGGGGAAUUUUGGACAAUGGGGGCAACCCUGAUCCAGCCAUGCCGCGUGAGUGAAGAAGGCUUUCGGGUUGUAAAGCUCUUUCGGCCGGGAAAAAAUCGCAUCAGUUAAUACCUGGUGUGGAUGAUGGUACCGGAAUAAGAAGCACCGGCUAACUACGUG
rnacentral:rRNA from 1 species